AGAGUUUGAUCCUGGCUCAGGAUGAACGCUGGCGGCGUGCCUAAUACAUGCAAGUCGAGCGAACAGACGAGAAGCUUGCUUCUCUGAUGUUAGCGGCGGACGGGUGAGUAACACGUGGGUAACCUACCUAUAAGACUGGGAUAACUCCGGGAAACCGGGGCUAAUACCGGAUAAUAUUUUGAACCGCAUGGUUCAAUAGUGAAAGACGGUUUCGGCUGUCACUUAUAGAUGGACCCGCGCCGUAUUAGCUAGUUGGUAAGGUAACGGCUUACCAAGGCGACGAUACGUAGCCGACCUGAGAGGGUGAUCGGCCACACUGGAACUGAGACACGGUCCAGACUCCUACGGGAGGCAGCAGUAGGGAAUCUUCCGCAAUGGGCGAAAGCCUGACGGAGCAACGCCGCGUGAGUAAUGAAGGUCUUCGGAUCGUAAAACUCUGUUGUUAGGGAAGAACAAAUUUGUUAGUAACUGAACAAGUCUUGACGGUACCUAACCAGAAAGCCACGGCUAACUACGUGCCAGCAGCCGCGGUAAUACGUAGGUGGCAAGCGUUAUCCGGAAUUAUUGGGUGUAAAGCGCGCGUAGGCGGUUUCUUAAGUCUGAUGUGAAAGCCCACGG
rnacentral:rRNA from 1 species